CAGGCAGCAGUGGGGAAUUUUGGACAAUGGGCGCAAGCCUGAUCCAGCAAUGCCGCGUGAGUGAAGAAGGCCUUCGGGUUGUAAAGCUCUUUUGUCAGGGAAGAAAAGGUAGCGNCUAAUAUCCGCUGCUCAUGACGGUACCUGAAGAAUAAGCACCGGCUAAUUAUCGUGCCAGCAGCCGCGGUAAUACGUAGGGUGCAAGCGUUAAUCGGAAUUACUGGGCGUAAAGCGUGCGCAGGCGGUUAUAUAAGUCAGAUGUGAAAUCCCCUGGGCUCAACCUAGGAACUGCAUUUGAGACUGUAUGGCUAGAGUGUGUCAGAGGGGGGUAGAAUUCCACGUGUAGCAGUGAAAUGCGUAGAUAUGUGGAGGAAUACCGAUGGCGAAGGCAGCCCCCUGGGAUAACACUGACGCUCAUGCACGAAAGCGUGGGGAGCAAACAGGAUUAGAUACCCUGGUAGUCCACGCCCUAAACGAUGUCUAUCUAGUUGUUGGGUCUUAAUUGACUUAGUAGACGCAGCUAACGCGUGAAGUAGACCGCCUGGGGA
rnacentral:rRNA from 1 species